rnacentral:misc_RNA from 1 species
UUUUAGGUGUUUCUGCCCAGACCGUCCUCAUGCUUGGGACUGUAAACCUGACCCUCCAGCUACAGGAAAUAACAAAUUCAGAUUGAAGUUUGGAUUGGGAGCAGGUGCAGGCAUCGGAUUACUAGUAAUUUUGUCUCUUUAUUUUUUCCUCAGUUACCGUAAAAGAAAACCUGCUCCCUCUAACUUCCUGUCAAAAAAUUCCUAUUCUGUUCCCUCCUCAAAAUCAGAUCUAGAAUUGGGCGGCGCCUACUUUGGUGUCCCACUCUUCUCGUACACUGAACUUGAAGAAGCCACUAGUAAUUUUGACAGCAGAAAAGAGCUUGGAGAUGGAGGUUUUGGAACUGUGUAUUACGGUAAGCUCCGAGAUGGACGAGAGGUUGCAGUCAAGCGCUUGUAUGAGCAUAAUUACAGAAGGGUUGCACAGUUCAUGAAUGAAAUUGAAAUCCUUACACGCCUACGCCACAAAAAUCUUGUCACUCUUUAUGGAUGCACUUCUCGCCGCAGCCACGAUCUCCUCCUUGUAUAUGAAUACGUUCCCAAUGGUACGGUGGCUGAUCAUCUCCAUGGUGAUCGGGCAAAGUCCAGUCCACUGACAUGGCCUAUUCGAAUGAGCAUUGCAAUAGAAACAGCUAGCGCUUUGGUUUACCUACACGCUUCGGAUAUCAUACAUCGUGACGUCAAAACCACCAACAUUCUCCUUGACAACAAUUUCUGCGUGAAAGUUGCUGAUUUUGGUCUCUCAAGAUUGUUCCCUAAUGAUGUCACCCAUGUCUCAACUGCACCGCAAGGGACGCCAGGUUAUGUUGAUCCAGAGUAUCACCAAUGCUACCAGCUUACUGAUAAGAGUGAUGUCUAUAGUUUUGGAGUUGUGUUGAUUGAGCUGAUAUCAUCAAUGCCUGCUGUUGAUAUUAAUAGGCAUCGACAUGAGAUUAAUCUAGCUAACUUGGCGGUAAACAGGAUUCAAAAAUGUGAAUUUGAUGAGUUGAUUGAUCCAUCUUUUGGGUAUAAUUCUGAUGAAGAAGUUAAAACAAUGACAAUUACAGUGGCAGAGUUGGCAUUUCGAUGCUUGCAACAGGACAAGGAAAUGAGACCCACCAUGGAUGAAGUGUUGGAGGAAUUAAAGAGAAUUGAAAGUGCAGAAUUCAUGGAGAAUCCAGAGGAGAUUCAUGAUGAUAACAAGCCAUUGAGUGGUAUGCUGCCACCAUCUUCACCACCAGAUUGCGACGAUGCUUCGCUAUUGAAAAAUAUCCGAUCGCUGCCUUCACCAGAUACGGUAACUGCUAAAUGGGCUAGUAGUUGUUCCACUACACCUAAUGUUAGUGGUAAGAUUUUUUCCCUUUCUGCUGCUUAAUUUUCUAGGUGGGUGAUGACUGAUGAGGGCAUGAUCAACAUUCUAUUAGACGGAAACGAGUGGCAUAAUUGCUUCUGAUUUUACUUCCAUUUUGUUCUUCAUAGAGAUAAAUUGAAGGCACAGAAUCUGUAGGUAAAUUUGUAAGGGAGUGUAUAUAGUAAAUGAAGUAAGGAACUAGUUUAUACCAAUGUCCAUAUUCUGAAUCCCAUAUGAUAAACUCUUGCCUUCUUUUGCUCUUUGCAAUCUUUGGUUGUGAUUAGGAACUCAAAAGUUUUAUAAACAGCAGGACAAUCUUGAUAUGUACGUGUAACAAUGAAGAAAUGUAAUUGAAGUGAAUUUAUCUCUGAUCAUAUAUAAUUGGCUC